CCGCCGCCGUCUCUGUCUCUCAUCUCCCUCGCCUGAGCCCGGCCUCGCCUCACAGCGGCUCAACAUUCAAACUUCCAUCACGGCUGCAGCUUCUGAGAGGAGAGCAUCUUCUAGGAUCAUGUAGUCGGAGAUUAAAAAGAGUUCUACUUUUUCCUUUCCAACCUGGAAGCCUUUUAUUGCAAUUUCUUAUCUGACUGUACUGUCUGAUAUCUCCAGUGCAAGGUUGAAUAAAAGUAGUGAAAACAGACAUUGUUACUUUGCUACCAAAAUUAUAGGCAAAGCAUUCAGUCUUUUGAAGCUUUCAUGUUUAAGGGGCUCUUGGACCUUCGGCCACAGACUGAAGGCUGCACUGUCAACUUCCCUACUUUUGAUGUUUUGGGACUCAGACUGGCUUCCUGGCUCCUCAGCUUGCAGAAGACCUAUUGUGGGACUUUACCUUGUGUUUGUGUGAGAAGGAUGCUGUAGUUACACAAUUCCCAAGACACAGAAUCAUUGGGACAGGAAAGGAAUUCAUUCUACUGUGUCCCCAGAAUAUGAAUCAUGUUGCAAUGUACUGGUAUCGACAGAACCCAGGACUUGGACUGAAGCUAGUCUAUUAUUCACCUGGCACUGGGAGCAUUGAAAAAGGAGAUGUCUCUGAGAGGUAUCAUGUUUCUUGAAAUACUAUAGCAUCUUUUCUCCUGACCCUGAAGUCUGCUAGCACCAACCAGACAUGUGUGUAUCUCUGCGCCAGCAGUUCAUCCACAGCACUGCAUAGCUGCCACAUCCUCUCCACAUAAAAAAAGGUGCAUACCAAAGAGGAAAAGCCUGCCCUCAAAAUUCCUCACCGCAAAUAAGAGAAGUUACCUCACAGGUAUUGACAAAAAGAGCCAAACUCUGUAAAAUAUUUGAAGAGAUUUAUUCUGAGCCAAACAUGAGUGAGCAUGGCCAGAGGCAGAGGCUCAAGGGCCUAAGAACGUGUGUCCAAGGUGGUCAGCCUACAGCUUGGUUUUAUACCUUUUUGGAGACAUCAGACAUCAAUCAAUACAUGUAAGCUGUACAUUGUUUCAAUUUGGAAAGGUGGGACAACUCAAAGAGGGGGCUUCCGGGUCAUAGGUGGAUUCAAAGAUUUUUCAGACUGGCAGUUGGUUGAAAGAGUUAAGUUAUCGUCUAAAGAUUUGAAAUCAAUAUAAAGAAGUAUCUGGGUUGUGGGGACCAAGGUUCUUAUUAUGCAGAUGAAGCCUCCAGGGAGCAGGCUUCAGAGAGAAUAGAUUGUAUUUCUUAAUCAAACUUUUAAAAGGUGCCAGACUCAUAAUUCUCUUCUGGAUCAGGGGAAAAACCUGAAAAGGAAAGAGAAUUAUCUACAGAAUGUAGAUUUCCCUCAUGAUAGACAGCUUUGUAGGGCCGUUUAAAAAUAUGUCGGAAAAUACAUUUUGGGGUAAAAUAUUGAUUUUUUUCAGGGCCUGCUAGGAGUCAUGUUGGUGUCUUAUUGCUACAAAGGGUCUGUUUUGUCACUCAUAAGGUUUCCAUUGUAAUGUUAAUGCUGGUUGGUUGUGCCUGAAUUCUAAAGUGAAGAGGGUAUAAUGAGGCAUGUCUGACCCCACUUCCCACUAAGAACUGAACUGGUUUUUCAUGUUAACUUUGGAAUGCUCUUGGCCAAGAGAAGGGGUCCACACAGUUGGUUGUGGGGCUUAGGAUUUUAUUUUUGGUUCACACAAAAGUAUACCAAUGUCCUCCCCUAGGUUUGAUAUGCCCUGCUUCCCUCUUUCCAUUUUUGUCCUUCUAGGACACCUUUUUGGUUGUUAUUAAACCCUUCAUUUCUUGUCAAUAUCCCACUAGACUAUAGGGCAUCAACACAAUAUGAACACUUGUCUUGGUUUAUUUGUGCUACUAUAGCAAAAUAACUGAGAUUGGAUAAUUUAUAAACAUGAACUUGUCACAGUUCUGUAGGCUCAGAAGCCCAGAACAAAGCACCUCAGGUUCAAUUUCUGGUGAGGGCCUUGGUCUCUGCUUCCAAGAUGGCACCUUGAGUGCUAUGUCAUCACAUGAGAAAAGUGCCUAAGCUGGUUCCCUACCCUUUUAUGAGUCACUAAUCCAUUCAUGAGAGCAGAACCCUCAUGACCUAAUCACUUCCCACCUCUUAAUACUGCCACAAUGGGGAUUACAUUUCAAAAUGAAUUUUAGAAGAAACACAUUCAAACCACAGCACAUUUCUAGACAAACUUUCAGACACAGAUGUAGAGAAAUUUUAAUGAAAUUGAAUUUUAACCAAGUGAAGACAACCCACAGAUUUGCAAAUACCCUUCUAAGAUUCUUCAAAGAUAUCUCAAUGGUUAAUCACGUUGUUUAGGAAAAUGAGAACAGUGACAGCAAGACCUUCUCAGUGGUACAAUGGCCUCAGCAGCAGUAAAAGAGGGUAGUAAACAUUAUGCAGACUUUGUGUGGGCUCUGGAUCACCCACAGAGAAGAAAGUUAUUUUGUAUGUAUGUGUGUAACUGUAUGUUUAAGAGAAAUGAACUGUUUAUUUACAGGGAUUAUUGAGGAGCAGAACCUCACUUGGGUAGAUGCAGGUGUAACUUUUAAGAUCAAUAUCCAUGGCUUUGAAUAGAUAGGCUAGAGAUACAGCAGAUUUACUUAGUUCCCCAAAGAUGCAUGUUGGGUGAUACCCACCUAUAUUAGUUUUCCAAUUACUGCAAAUUCAGUAGGUUAAAGUAACAAUUGUCUUAUCUCACAGUUCUGUAUGUCUGAAGUCCAGGAAAGUAUGGCUGGAUUUUUCUCAGGGUCUUAUAAGGUGGAAAUCAAGGGGUCAGCUGUCUGCAUUUUCAUCAGGAGAUUGGCUACUCCUCCUAGAUUAUUCCUAGUACUGGUAGAAUUUGGUUCCUUGUGACAGCAGGUCUAGGGUCUCCAUUUUUUAUUGGCUGUCAGCUCCUUGCAGUUUCUUUCUGGUCCCCUUGAUCUUCAAAUGCACAUCAAAUCUGUCUCAUGUUUAAAAUCCUGUGAUACCCACUUCUGCUUCAAGACAGAAAACUCUGCAUUUAAAGGGCUCUGGUGAUUAGGUUAGGCCAACCUGAAUAGUAUUUAUUUUGUCAAAUAAUGUAACAUAAUCGCUGGAGUGACAUAUCAUAUUUUUAGGUUCCACUCAUGCUGAAAGUGAAGGACAUUAUACAUGGGCAUGAGUCACUGGAGGUCAUUCUUGGAAUUCUGCCUACCAUACCAAUGGAGAUCAAAUGCCAGGAAAGUCAGGAAUAGAAAUUCAGAGAGCAUACAAUCAAAUAUAUUAAAUUAGAAUUCAAAACUAUUCAAGAGAUGGUUCAGAGUUUUGGCCAAGCAGUGGAUCAAAUUUUCUUACUACUGCUUAAUCAAGGAUACAGUACAGAAGUAAAAUGAAUUGAUCUUUAUUAAAAUGGAGCAAAGACCAGGUCUAGGAAGGAAAGGCAAGAAGGUGGAAUAGAUUUGCUCUUACUGGAAGAACACUGGAGAUUCAAGACAAGAAACAGAAUUGUUUUAGUCCCUGAGUUAACAAAUAAAAGAAAGAUGAGACCAGAACAGUUGUCAAUGAAGGAGCAGUGAAGUAGAAAGGAAGGAUGGAGUGAAUGUGGAGAGCACUUUUCUGAAGAGAAUAAACUUAGUUGUCAGAUGAAAGGAGAUUUAUAAUUAGCUUUGUCCUUACAAAUUUUGAGGUAACUUACCAUGGAAAUACUUUUUCUUAUCAGUUGAUUAAUCUGGGGGGAGGUAGCAUAAUCCUUUGAAAUUCCAGUGCGUAGAAAACUAGGCUCGACCUCAAGAUGAAGCCUCAAAAAAGAAAUGUCUGUUAGAAUCCAGUUAACAGGAGAACACCUACUGCGACUUUAUUAUCAGCAAGUUGGUGAAAACUUCCUGAAGAAGAAAUGUGGGAUGAUACAGAAACUGAUUAAAGUCUCAGAACAGCAAAUAGUUUCUCCUCUUGUGAAUUAAUUCACCUUCCACAAUUAAACAGAGAUAACUCAGGGUACCUCAAAUACUGAUGAGCUUGACAGAAAUGAAUUGCCACCUAAUUCCAUUGAUGGAGAAAGAUAAGACAAUGAGCAAAGAAAAGGGACUUUCAGAGAGAAGAAUUGUUGAGAAGGUAGCAGUCCUUUCUCUUUCCAUGAGGUAGUUGCUAUUCAUUACUCUGUGAUGGGGACUGGGAACACAAGAAUCACCACUUAGGGAUUAAUGAAUUCAAGAUCUGUACCUUCCAUUUUGAUCCAAAUUUGAACUUAAAUUUAUUCAGGACACCAACUGAAUACUUCUACCUAAAGGUAAAACUCAUAUCAUAUUUCCCUCCCAAGCUGCAUUUCCUCUGAGUUCCUGACUUGACGGAGUCAUUUAUUUGUACAAUAUAUGAACGCUGAGAGUUGUGCCACAUUUCUCUCUCUUUUGCCCUGGACAUCCAAUUUUUAUGCAACACUUUCAUUUCUAACUCCUAAAUAUCUUAGUUUACUAUCUCAAUCACUGCAACCACUGACAUGUUUAUGCCCUUUUUACUAGCUUGCCAAAUAAAUAUAAAAGAGCUCAUUAAUCUCUCUAGUUCCUUAUUAAUCCUCAUUUCAUCUAAUCUAGUAUUAGUAUUAUACCCAAGUAUAAUCUUCCAAAUUGCAAAAAUCUGUUUCUAUCACUCUUUCUGCAGCAUCCUUCACUGGCUCCCCCAUGGUCUACAAUAUAUACAAUCUAAGUUUUAAAAAGAAAAAAACUUAUGACUAUCCCUUAUUUUGAAAAAAGGAAAAUUAGUCCUUUACUAGAAAAAUAGCACUGUAUUAUAAUGUCAAGUUCACACUAGAGUCUACGAUGGUGUCAAAGAGCUCUAUAUUUUUCUUCUUGAGUCACUUUGAUAUCCUCCCACAGUAAGACCAUUACAGUUGGUGUAUUGGUCUGUUCUCACACUGCUAUGAAGAAAUACCUGAGGCUGUGUAAUUUAUAAAGCAAAGAGGGUUAAUUGGUUCACAGUUCCACAUUGCUGGGGAGGCCUCAGAAAACUUACAAUCAUGGUGGAAGGCAAAAGAGAGGCAGGCACCUUCUUCACAGGGUGGCAGGAUGGAGUGAGUGCCAGCAGGGGAAAUGCCAGAUGCUUGUAAAACCAUCAGAUCUCGUGAGACUCACUCAUUAUCAUGAGAACAGCAUGGGGGAAACUGCUCCCAUGAUUUAAUUACCUACACCUGGUGCCACCCUUGACACGUGUGGAUUAUAGAGAUUAUAAUUCAAGGUAAGAUUUAGAUGGGGACACAGAGCCAAACCAUAUCAGUUGGGUACUGAGAAGGACAUACUGUAUUAAUCAUGCCUUCUUAUUGUCUGUAUUUUCUAAUGUUUUGACAUCCAUAUUUUCUGAUGUUUUGACAUCUGGGGACUUGCUGAUCUUGGAGGGACUGACCCUCUCAGGGUUAACUCAUUCCUAGGGGUAGCAAACUGCUUUCCCUAGAGCAUGCCUUUCAUAUCAAAUCAACCAAUCCAAACCUCUACUCCAACCCACCUUCUUUAUUGGGCUCUCAUACUCUGAGCCCCUAUUCUCCUACCCUAAUUACCACAGGGCCAGGUACUAAACAACUUGAGAUAAUCCCUACACUUUGUAGCCUGCUCAAAAAUUUAAACCAGCCAAUGCUAAACCUAUUUAGCCUGUGUACCCUGCCUCACUCAUUUGUUCAGUGAAAACCACAAUAAAGUUUCUUGCCAAUGUUUCCUGUCACUCCUUCUAUCUUCUGACCCACUGUUGUGAUUCUUAUUGCUAUGAUUUUUUUCUAACUUGGUCAUGAGGUCUCUCUUUUUAGACUAGCCAUAAACCAAUAUAGCCACUCUCUAGGAGACCUCUGACUCAGGGGAGGGGGAGUUAGAUUCAGGUGUGAGUGUCAGGUGAGACACAGUGGAGGAAGUGAAAACAAAAUGCAUGAAAGGAAGAAAUUUAUUACUCACAGAACCCAAAGAGGUUAGAGAGGCCCAAGAGAAGUGUGAAGAUGGCACGGAGCUCAUCCAGUUGAGGAGGGAAGAGAGGGCACAGGCAAGGGCAAGAGGGGGUGGGUGAGGGCCGGUGGAACUAUUCCUUAGGCUUUCCUAUGGGGGUUAUGGGUCAGCUACUUUAAAUGUUUCAGAAGGAGGAAACUUACUUGCAGGACUCUAGCAUUGGCCAUUAGGCUUUAUCAUGGUCAGCAGCUCUGGAGUGUGUUGGGUUUUGGGUCAGGGGAAUGAGAAACAGACCAUAUAGCUGACAACCACACAGGGAGAAGUUUUAACUGGGUCAAAGAUGACAGAGUAUGACUGGGUUUCAAAUAAUUUGUUUCAGGCCUUAAAAAAAAAUUGGGGCCAGGCACAGUGGCUCACAUCUGUAAUCCCAGCACUUUAGGAGGCUGAGGCAGGUGGAUCACUUUGAGGUCAGGAGUUCUAGACCAGGCUGAUCAACAUGAAGAAAUCUCUACUAAAAAUACAAAAAUUGGCCAGGCAUGGUGGUGCACACCUGUAAUCCCAGCUACUUGGAAGGCUGAGACAGGAGAAUUGCUUGAAUCUGGGAGACAGAGGUUGCAGUGACCCAAGAUCAUGCCACUACACUCCAGCCUGGGCGACAAAGCGAGACUCCAUCUCAAGAAAAACAAACAAACAAAAAAACUGGGCCUGUGUGGCCCUGCAUAGUGUGUCAUGCCCCUUCUUCUUGGGAACUGUAAGUAACAAACUGUAUUUUCAGUGGCAGCUGUCUCCUGAUCCAUUAGCUCUACCAUACCUGAAUAAUAAUAGCACUCAUAUUCUAAAACACUUGCUUCUUAUGAGUAGGAAGAAUGGGUCAGUGCUUCAGAAUCCCAGACAUGUCCAAAGGAAGAGGUGAAGAAAACCAAAUGACCAGAUCAUACCCAGCCUGAUUGAAACACACACAAUAUAAUCACCCCUUUGUCUCUAUGUGUUCACCAACUCUGCAAGUACACCUGUGUAUAGUAUGCUGACAAGCUCUGUCUUCUUCAAUCUGCUAAAUCGUUUUCUACUUUCCUACAUUGCUGUGGGCCAGGAGAGCCCUGGAUGUAAUGGAAAGUGGGGAGGGGUUAAAUCCGUCUAGGAAGGAGAUGGAUGGGUAAAAAAAAAUUGUGUAACAUAUACAAAGGUUUCUAUGAUUACAAGCCUACUAUGAAAUCCAGUCACACCUACCACUCACAGUCCCACUUACUUUGCUCUAAGCAACACUGAUCUCCAAACAUGCUGUGCAUAGUAUUUCCCUUACACGGCACACCUGCAAAUUUAUUCUGCACUUUCAAAUAUAACUUAAAACAAUAGCACUACAUGAAAUGUGCCAUUUUCCCAAGAAGAUUGUAGACUCUUUCCCCUGUACUCGCCAUACCUUACACAAUUCUCCCUUUCUGCAAAUACCAAAUUAUGUUUCUUGGUAUAGUGAUCUUCCCAUGGGCCUACAAAAUCCAUGUGGUCAAAUGACAUGCCUUUCCGUUAUUCCUUCCCUAGAAUCUUCUCCUAUGCCUGACAUCCAUGUUUAAUGAAUGAUCAGACACAAUAUAGGAAGAGGGAUGCUGACUUUUAUGUUUAUGCCUCUAUUCUCAGGAUCUGAAACAGCACCUGAUAUUUAACAGGUGUUCACUAUGUGUCUGUUAAAGAAAAAAAAAAAACAUUAAUGUCUACAAUGAUUUGAUCCUGGGUUUGCCUCUUCUCUCCUUCUUCCUCCAAAGUAUAUUCCUUAAAUUUAACAACCCUUGCCUUCCUUUUCUGUCUAAGGGCUACUGGUAGGUAGGAUAAUGACUCCAAAAGCUGUCUAUGUCCUAAACCUCAGAACCUGUAAAUAUGUUACCAUACAUAAUAGAAGAUAAUUAAGUUUGUAGAUAGUUUAGUGUGCUAAUUAGCUAACCUUGAGGCAGGAAGAUUAUCCUGACUUAUGCAGGUGGGCUCAGUGUAAACACAUAGGUACUCAGAAGUGACUAUGGUGAGAGUGAUGUGAGAACUUUACCUGCUGUUGCCACCUGAAGAUAAUGAAAGGGGCCAUGAGUCAAGGAAUAUGGGAGGCCUCUAGAAGCUAGAAGAGAAAAAAAAAAAACAAAACAAAAACAUAUUCUCUCCUAGAGCCUCCAAAGAGCAAAGUGCCAAUGAGACCCAUCCUGGACUUCUAACCAAAAGAAUUGUAAGAUAAUAAGUUUGUGUUGUUUUUAAGCCACUAAGUUUGCAGUAAUACGGUACAGCAGUAAGAGAAAACUAUUAUAAGGCUCUAUUUCGAAGCAGCUGAAAAAAGGCAGCUGAUGAAGGAAGUCGCGCUGGGAAGUAGCCUAAGAGGCAAAAGUACAAAGACAGGAGUUUGAAUCAGAUGAUGCCACUUUUAAGGGUGGAUUUGUCAGAGACAUAUGAACCAGAGCAACUCCAUCUUAAGUAGGAGCUGGGUAAAAUAAGGUUGAAACCUACUGGGCUGCAUUCCCAGAUAGUUAAGGCAUUCUAAGUCACAGGAUGAGAUAGGAGGUCAGCACAAGAUACAGGUCGUAAAGACCCUGCUGAUGAAACAGGUUGCAGGAAAGAAGCCAGCCAAAACCCACUGAAACCAAAAUAGUCACAACAGUGACCUCUGGUCAUCCUCCCUGCUACAUUCCCACCAGUGCUGUGACAGUUUACCAAUGCCGUGACAUCAGGAAGUUACCCUAUAUGGUCUAAAAGGGGGAAGCAUGAAUAAUCCAUCCUUUGUUUAGCAUAUAAACAGGAUAUAACCGUAAAAAUAGGCAACAAGCAGCCCUCACGGCUACUCUAUCUAUAGAGAAGCCAUUCUUUUAUUCCUUUAUUUUCCAAAUAAACUUGCUUUCACUUUAUGCUAUGGACUCCCCUUGAAUUCUUUCUUGCUUGAGAUUCAAGAAUCCUCUUUUGGGGUCUGGAUAAGAAGCCUUUCCUGUAACAGCUUUCUGGUGAUUAUGAAGAGACCGUAGUGAGGAAACCCCGGAACCAAAGGAUAACUUUGGGUAAGUGUUGGGGUCGUGUAACAUCUUCCUGGCAAACCCUGAAGGGAUGAUACUAAGGAGACCUCCCCCCAACCCAAGGAAAUAGACUGCAGCACUGAUUGGACAACUUUGGAUAAGUGGUGGAGUACCUACUCAGGUAAAGAAUGGGAUUGGGAUAGAGGCCCAACUUAGGGGAGUUAGAGUCUCUCCUAAGACAGAGUGGGUUAAAGGCCCCUCUUAAUAAAAGGCAAGGACACUUGAAUGACCUUGGGUUAGAGGCCCAAUUUAGGAGGAUUAGAGUCCCUUUCUAAGAUUUAGGGGGUUAGUGGCCCCUCUUAGAAAGGUCACUCUGGGUAAAGUCCCUUUGAGCUAAGAACGGUAUGUUAACUGCUAUUCUCUUUGGAUUAAUCUGCCUUGAACUCCUUGCUGACAGCUGUGGGUAACAGGAUUAGGCAGGUACAGGACCAUUGGACAUGGGGAACUAUUUCUCCCUAAAACGGAAAACUUGAGAGCUGAUGGGACUGCUGGAAAAGAUCCUUCACAACUAUCAAGCGGCCACCUGAACUGUUCAGUGUCACUGCAAUGGGUGGGUCUUUCUCUGAUCUCUCUGAGUGCCUCCCCUUCCCCACCCUGCCUCAGGCAAUGCUUUCCUCUUUCUGUCUCUCCCUGUCUCUCUUUCUCUGUGCAAACUGGUUGAAUUAAUGGUAAAAAAUCACUGUUUAUCUCCUAUAAAGUUUUGAUUAAUGGAAGAAAGGAUUUUUGAUGCUAGACUUAAGCUGCAGCAAAUCUGAUGUGCUUUGUGUGUUUUUCUGUAUUAUUCUGUCAUAAAGAGGGGUACCUUAUGAUAGAACACUGGCUUAGGACGCUUUUCAAGGCAGAACAGCAAACUGGUCUGUUACAAACUUUGCUGCAGUUUCCUGAGAAAAACUGGAUGAGUUUUUUUCUUGUCUUGCAUGUCCUUGGGAACUUGAAGCUGUAAGCAUGUGGCCAUGUUUUCUCUUUUCACAAUGGCAUCCUGUGUUCAGGGUUCAAUUUCUGCCUCGGGAUGAAUUUUUUUUAUCUUCUUCUGUGUAUGUAUUUACAUGUAUUAUGUGUGUGUGAUGUUUAUUUCUAAAACAGCAUUGAUUAAUGGGUUUAAUGAGAGCUUAAAUCAAAUAUUUUGUCAGAAAAGUAAAAAGUAUAAUGCCUUUUAGUUCAUGUGACUUAAGUAAUUUUCCAGAAAUAAAGACAGUUUUAAAGAUUAUCAGUAAAAUAAAAAUAUCUUCAAAAAUGUAAACAUUUGGCUUAAAUUAGGCAGGUCAGAUAUUAAGAUUGCUAAAUGCUUGAAGGUCAUAAACUGCUUCUUUAACUUUUGAAAGCUGUUCAAUUUACCUACCUUGAAGCCAUUAGAUUCUAGAUAAGACCUGGGGACCUGCGGAGUUAGCCACGCCCCCUAGCUAUGCUGGAGUCAGCCUUUAUCUGCACUUCUGCCUGGUGUAUCCCAGGCUAGGCUUCACACCUAGUACAUAAUUAAAAUCCCAAAUUUAGCAACUUUUGGUGAAAAACCUUGGUAAGAGUCAACAUUAUAACAUGUAAUUGAUACUACUGAAGAAACAGUUUUAUAUGCAAUUAUGUAAAGAAAGUGAAAUGGCCAGGUGCGGUGGCUCACGCCUGUAAUCCCAGCACUUUGGGAGUCCGAGGCAGGUGGAUCAUAAGGUCAGGAGAUUGAGACCAUCCUGGCUAACAUGGUAAAACCCUGUCUCCACUAAAAAAAUACAAAAAAAAAAUUAGCCGGGCAUGGUGGCAGGUGCCUGUAGUCCCAGCUACUUGGGAGGCUGAGGCAGGAGAAUGGCGUGAACCCAGGAGGCGGAGCUUGCAGUGAGCCGAGAUCACGCCACUGCACUGCAGCCUAGGCGAAAGAGCGAGACUCUGUCUCAAAAAAAAAAAAAAAAAAAGAAAAAUAUUUUUAAUUAAAAAAAUAUAAAGUCAUGGGAAUUUAGAUUUUUGCCUAGAUUAAAGCAUUAAAGGAUGGUUUCAAGUUAGGAUGAAGCUGACUGUUCAAGAAAGCUGUGGAAGGGUUGUGAAAAAAUAACUGUAAAAGAGAUUCUGUGUGCAAACAUUGGCUAAAAUUAAAGGGGUAUUAUUCAGUUUUUCUGGAAACUGAACAUUGGAAUAAAAGCACUACUCUACUCUUUAACAAAAACUUGUAAAGGGUUAUAAAAGGUUUAUAAAAACCUUACCUUAUGGUCAAUAUGAUUAGGAUUGAAGACAUUUGUCUAUAAAGUUUUACUAAGAAUUGGGUUUGACAUCAAUAAUGCACAAAUGCAACAGUGACAUUUGGCUUAUUUAAUAUUACAAUAAUACAAGAAGCAUUAUCAAAUACAAAAUGGCAUUUGGGUUUCUUUGGGCUGUAUUUGUAUAAAUGUGUUACUGGUACAUGUUCCAAAAUUAUUUUUAAAAAUUCUUUAAUCCUGAUAUGACUUAGUGUAUGUUAUUAAUAAUUGUUCAUUAAAAUCAUUGUGUCUCAGAGGCAACCACAUUUUUCUAGUCAAUUUUGGCUUUAAUUGUGGCUGUCCUAAGACUUUUGGUCAUCCAAAAGUGGUCUUGUUUUGGUUCUCUUUAAAAGGUGGUUUAGAAUUAACUGUAGGACUCUACUGGUGCUUUUAAAUGCAGAUUUCUGAUAAGUUUGGACAUUGUGACAUCAGAACAGAGGGAAACCUUUCAGGACUCAGGGAGAGCUAAAAUGUUCAUAAAUAUCAAGCAGAACAGAAGUUAACUGCAUGGACUAAACUAGCAAAAGUCUAAAGUAACCUUUUUAACUUUUUGUGUAAAAUGUUGCUGAUCUUUUGUGUUUCAGAGUCAAGAAAACUUUUGAGCUAUUAUAGCUUUUAGCAAUUGAGUAAAGUAUACUUGUGUGAACAAAAUUGAGAGCAUAUUUUUUUCUUUUUACCUGAUUUCUCUGGAUUUUGUAAACUAGUUGUGAGUAUUCUUAAUUUAUGGCAAUAUAGUUAUUUGCAUGAGUGUAAUAAGAAUCUGUUGGGUUUUGUUUUGUUUUCUUUAUUAUUAUUAUUAUUUUUGGCAACAAGACACAAUUGGAGAAACUGAUUAUUUUACGAAGACUUUGAUGGAAUGGUAUACUCUCCUUUAAGGAAUCAAACUUGACUUGCCAAGUCAAUAAAAGCCCCUUGGAGAAAUGGCCUCAGACCUUUGCUACAACAGUCCCUGUACGUGAUUUCUGACCUGUGGUAAGUAAAUAAUGUCACCUUCUAACAGGUCCAGGAGCCCCAAGUUAUCUUGGGACCCCAAGAGGAGAGGAAUUUACUAAACUCAUAGGUAUUUGAGGGUACAAACCCAUGGUAGGGCUCAGCUCAAAAAGAGUCUUAUCUAAGAUUCCUUCUAAGAAACAAAGUUUCAUCAAAGCCAGUGUUAAAAGUCUAUGUGAAAAAUAAUUAUUCUUGCUGUACUUUAUACAAAUAAUCAGGCCAAGUAUAAUAAAGCAAAUUAGUCUCACUAUGACUUAUCUUUAGUGAAAAUGGAAAACAGGAGAGAGAAUAUUAUGUUUCAAGACCUAUGUUACACUUGUUAUUAAAUUCUAGUCUCAUCAGUUGUUAAGUUUGUUUCUGCAGUUUAGGCUAACCCUGCUUCUUCCUGUGAACCAACCGGUGAUCUUUGUUUGCUACUCUGAAAAAACAAGACAUUUUGGUAAUGUAAAAAUCUGGAUCAGUAUUCUAAUUCUGGGCAUGUAUUGGAAUUGGCUAACCACCUCAUGUCAGCUUGGUUCCAGUAGUUGCCCAGUUCAUGAAGAGCCUUAUAAUUUAGUUUAUUUGGGAUAAUUUUGCUUAUUUUGUUAUAUUGCUGUUUUACUCUUUGUGUAGGAAUGCAGACUAAGCUUGCUAAAUGUUUUCUUAAACUAAAUACUUAUUAGUCUUUCAGAUAUCACCUUUCAUCAGGACUCAAGAGUUCUGAAUGGCCUUCAUCAUACUGAGGCUUUCUGACUGAGCUCCUCUCUACCCUGAACACAGAGACCCUAAUAGUUAGGCAGGAAUAUCAUUUCCCCUAUUCAGCCUGAAGAAGUUACAGAAGAUGAAUCUUUGUCCCCCUACAACCUUAGGAUUAAGGGUUCUCUUAUAAAAGGGAGGGAGGAAAUGUCUAAGACAUGUGAACUAGAGCAACUUCAUCCUGAAGAGGAGCUGAGUAAAAUAAGGCUGAAACCUACUGGGCUGCAUUCUUAGACAGUUAAGGCAUUCUAAGUCACAGGAUGAGAUAGGAGGUUAGCACAAGAUACAGGUCCUUAAAACCUUGCUGAUAAAACAGUUUGCAGUAAAGAAACCAGCCAAAACCCACCAAAACCAAUAUGGCCACGAGAGUGACCUCUGGUCAUCCUCACUGCUACACUCCCACCAGCGCCAUAAUAGUUCACAAAUACCAUAGCAACAUCAGGAUGUAACCCUGCAUAAAUAAUGCACCCCUUGUUUAGCAUAUGAUCAAGAAAUAACCAUAAUAAUAGGCAACCAGCAGCCCUCAGGGAUGCUCUGUCUUUGGAGUAGCCAUUCUCUUAUUCCUCUACUUUCUUAAUAAACUUGCUUUCACUUUACUCAGACUCCUCAUAAAUUCUUUCUUGCACAAGAUCCAAGAACCCUCUCUUGGAGUCUGAUUGGGACCUUUUUCUUGUGACAGAUUCUGCCAGUUUCUGUUCUUGGCAGGUUCCAUUUCUACAAAUUCCUCAUCUCUAUAGGUUUAGGAUCAGAAUGUUCCAGCAGGGGAGCAUUACAGCUGUUUCAAUCCUCAGGGAGACUACUCAUCUUGGGAAUAAUUCCUUCCUGGAGUGAUUGGAAAAUAAUUCCUAAAAGAAAUUGAAAAGUCAAAUUGUUGAACGGUAAAUUCACCAUCACGUUUACCAUAAAGCAUGUAGAGAAAUGGAAAUAGUUACACAUCAUGGUUGAGAGUGCAGGAUUUGCAGUCAGACAGUUUCUGGCACUUAGUAGCUUUAGAAAGUGACUUAAGCCCUCUAAGCCCUCAGUUUUCACAUCUAUAAAAUGAAGUAAAUAAUAUAAGCCUCUCAGAAGUGGAGUGAGCGUUGAAUGAAAUAGUAUGUGAGUAGUUUAACGCAGAGACUGGCACUGACAUAAGAAACUAUUGUGAUAGAAGCAGAGCAGAGAAAAUAUUUUGAAUAGCUGUAUGCAUGGCAAUUUUUUAACCUCUUUAUUCGUGGCAACUCAUUUAAUUGCCACAACAAACUAAGUACUUUUAUUAUUUCCAUUGUUAUGGACUGAGCUAUGCUACCCUCUUCAUUUCAUAUGUUGAUGUCCUAAGUCCCAGUGCCCCAUAAUGUGACUAUAUUUGGAGACACGGUCUUUACAUGGAUAAUUAAGUUAAAAUUAGGUCAUUAGGGUGGGCCCUAAUUCAAUAUGGCUGGUGUCCUUAUCAGGUUAGGACACAGACAUGCAUAGAGGGAAAACCAGAAAAAAGGUAUAGGAGAAAAAAUGGUUAUCUACAAGCCAAAGAGAGAGGCCUCAGAGGAAGCCAACUCAACAAAUUUUAAAAUAUGUAUUUUGGAGAACAAAAUUAUUAGAAAAUAUUUACAACAGAAAAAAAAAAUUUCUUCUAGAACUGAGCUGGUCUAAAGGUGCAUAUCUUGGUAAGGCUCUGUGAAGAAAUGACCUAAUCUGGAGAGAAGCUGUUGGGACACUCGUCUGUGUGUGGCCUGUGGCUCACAGGGGUGGGUAUUCUCAGAAAGCACAUGGGAAAAUCACCGUCCUGGUGUGUCCAGGCUCUGGGAACAGGCUCUUCCUCGUGGCUUUCACAUGGGUUUCCUGGUGGGCUAUGUAGUCACUUUCUGCAUCCUUCUUUUAAGGGCUCAUGAACGUCACAGACCCUGAGAUACCGGUCUCACUGUCCUCAACUAUCAAAUGAGGAGGUUGCACCAAAGAACCCCUAAAGCCCCUCCCACCUCUAAUCGCCUAUGGGACUGUCCAUUCUUCUUAAGGAUCAUUAUAGACACACAGCAGGGAACAUAAAGUAGACAAAUUCUGAGAAACAGCUAAGAAAAGUACUACAGACCCACCAGAAUGGGAGUAUAAAUUGGGCUUCAUCUGCCCCAUUGCAACCUAGACUUCCUUUGCCUUAUGAUUUGGCUCAAUGGCAUCUGUGACAAGGUAGCUUGAAGUUGACACCAGUGCAUCCCUGGAGAUUGGAUGGGCUGGGCUCAGAAUCCCAUACAUCCUUUACAGCCUUUUUUUUCCUCACCCUAUCCAUACCCUCACCCUACUAGAAUUAUGCAUGCACUUGUUGAAAACAGCCCUAGCAAAGUAAAUCUAGGCUCCUUAGGCCAUGAUUAAGGGCCCUUGAAGAAGUCAAAUUACCUAAGAAACUCUAGACAUGCACUCUCCAAUAUGCAAGCCACUAGUUCGUGUCUACUGAGCUCCUGAAUUGUGGCUAGUGCUAAUGGAGAUGUGCUGUAAGCAUGAAAUGCACACCAGAUGUACAAGACUUAGUAUGAAAAAAUAUAUUAAAAUCUCAUUAAUAGUAAGAUUAUUUUUAUAUUGAAAUGAUAAUUGUUAAUAUUGGGUUAAAUAAAAUAUAGCAUUAAAAUUCAUUUCUCCUGUUUUUACCUUUUUAAUGAGUCUACUAGAAAUUUUAAAUUUAUGAAUAUGGCAUAGUUUAU
rnacentral:lncRNA from 10 species